rnacentral:rRNA from 1 species
UGGGGAAUUUUGGACAAUGGGGGCAACCCUGAUCCAGCCAUGCCGCGUGAGUGAAGAAGGCCUUCGGGUUGUAAAGCUCUUUCGGCGGGGACGAAACGGUCCGUGACAACACCACGGACUAAUGACAGUACUCGCAGAAGAAGCACCGGCUAACUACGUACCAGCAGCCGCGGUAAUACGUAGGGUGCAGGCGUUAAUCGGAAUUACUGGGCGUAAAGCGUGCGCAGGCGGCUCCUUAAGUCAGAUGUGAAAUCCCCGGGCUUAACCUGGGAACUGCGUUUGAAACUGAGGGGCUAGAGUGUGGAAGAGGGGGGUGGAAUUCCAGGUGUAGCAGUGAAAUGCGUAGAGAUCUGGAGGAACACCGAUGGCGAAGGCAGCCCCCUGGGCUAACACUGACGCUCAUGCACGAAAGCGUGGGGAGCAAACAGGAUUAGAUACCCCCGUAGUCCCCUGAGCGGGCUGGCAAGGCGCAU